CGGAGGAAAAGAAACCAACAGGGAUUGCCUUAGUAGCGGCGAGUGAAGCGGCAAAAGCUCAAAUUUGAAAUCUGGCACUUUCAGUGUCCGAGUUGUAAUUUGAAGAAGGUAUCUUUGGGUCUGGCUCUUGUCUAUGUUUCUUGGAACAGAACGUCACAGAGGGUGAGAAUCCCGUGCGAUGAGAUGUCCCAGACCUAUGUAAAGUUCCUUCGAAGAGUCGAGUUGUUUGGGAAUGCAGCUCUAAGUGGGUGGUAAAUUCCAUCUAAAGCUAAAUAUUGGCGAGAGACCGAUAGCGAACAAGUACAGUGAUGGAAAGAUGAAAAGAACUUUGAAAAGAGAGUGAAAAAGUACGUGAAAUUGUUGAAAGGGAAGGGCUUGAGAUCAGACUUGGUAUUUUGUAUGUUACUCUCUCGGGGGUGGCCUCUACAGUUUACCGGGCCAGCAUCAGUUUGAGCGGUAGGAUAAGUGCAAAGAAAUGUGGCACUGCUUCGGUAGUGUGUUAUAGUCUUUGUCGAUACUGCCAGCUUAGACUGAGGACUGCGGCUUCGGCCUAGGAUGUUGGCAUAAUGAUCUUAAGUCGCCCGUCUUGAACCACGG
rnacentral:rRNA from 1 species